rnacentral:tRNA from 41 species
GCUGGCAUGGCUCAAUUGGUAGAGCAGCUGACUUGUAAUCAGCAGGUUGUAGGUUCAAGUCCUAUUGCCAGCUCCA